rnacentral:rRNA from 1 species
GUGAGGAACCUGCCUCAAAGAGGGGGACAACAGUUGGAAACGACUGCUAAUACCGCAUAAGCCCACGACCCGGCAUCGGGUAGAGGGAAAGGGAGCAAUCCGCUUUGAGAUGGCCUCGCGUCCGAUUAGCUAGUUGGUGAGGUAAUGGCCCACCAAGGCGACGAUCGGUAGCCGGACUGAGAGGUUGAACGGCCACAUUGGGACUGAGACACGGCCCAGACUCCUACGGGAGGCAGCAGUGGGGAAUAUUGCACAAUGGGGGAAACCCUGAUGCAGCGACGCCGCGUGGAGGAAGAAGGUCUUCGGAUUGUAAACUCCUGUUGUUGAGGAAGAUAAUGACGGUACUCAACAAGGAAGUGACGGCUAACUACGUGCCAGCAGCCGCGGUAAAACGUAGGUCACAAGCGUUGUCCGGAAUUACUGGGUGUAAAGGGAGCGCAGGCGGGAAGACAAGUUGGAAGUGAAAUCCAUGGGCUCAACCCAUGAACUGCUUUCAAAACUGUUUUUCUUGAGUAGUGCAGAGGUAGGCGGAAUUCCCGGUGUAGCGGUGGAAUGCGUAGAUAUCGGGAGGAACACCAGUGGCGAAGGCGGCCUACUGGGCACCAACUGACGCUGAGGCUCGAAAGUGUGGGUAGCAAACAGGAUUAGAUACCCUGGUAGUCCACACUGUAAACGAUGAUUACUAGGUGUUGGAGGAUUGACCCCUUCAGUGCCGCAGUUAACACAAUAAGUAAUCCACCUGGGGAGUACGACCGCAAGGUUGAAACUCAAAGGAAUUGACGGGGGCCCGCACAAGCAGUGGAGUAUGUGGUUUAAUUCGACGCA